CUCUCAUAAUAUUAUUGAUGUCACAUGUUCUGGGUCUUCCUGAGUGGACAGUCUUGACUUCAGUCUGGGUUAGAGGCCAGUCUUCCAGAUAUAAGAAGUCACGGGGGAUAAGAGCCUCUAAACAUUGGCUGUCACUAUGGCAUGGAGAACUGAAGUGAAGAUGCUGGAGGACGGAGGCAAUCAUGGAAUGACAGAGGCUGGAAGAGGUGCCUUAGAGAUGAUCCAGUCCAAAUGGUGACAGAACAGUAAUCCCUUCUGCAAUCAACUUGAUAAGUGACCUUCCAACCUCUACUUAAAGGUGGAACAGUAAAGGGAAAUCUACAGUCUCCUGAAGAAGCCUAUUUUGCUUUUAUACAGCUCUAGUAAUAAGAAAUUUUACUGUAUAUUGAGACACAAUCUUCCUCCUGCAACUUCUGCUUGUUGUGCCAAAUUCUGCUCACUGGUGCCAAGCAAAAUAAAUCUUCUCUCUCUUCCA
rnacentral:lncRNA from 1 species